AACGAACGCUGGCGGCAUGCCUAACACAUGCAAGUCGAACGAGACCUUCGGGUCUUUUGGCGCACGGGUGCGUCACGCGUGGGAACCUGCCCUUAGGUUCGGAAUAACUCCCCGACAGGGGUGCUAAUACCGGAUAAUGUCUUCGGACCAAAGAUUUAUCGCCUUUGGAUGGGCCGGCGUUGGAUUAGCUAGUUGGUAGGGUAAAAGACUACCAAGGCGACGAUCCAUAGCUGGUCUGGGAGGAUGAUCAGCCACACUGGGACUGAGACACGGCCCAGACUCCUACGGGAGGCAGCAGUGGGGAAUAUUGGACAAUGGGCGAAGGCCUGAUCCAGCAAGGCCGCGUGAGUGAUGAAGGCCGUAGGGUUGUAAAGCGCUUGUACCCGGGAUGAUAAUGACAGUACCGGGAGAAUAAGCCCCGGCUAACUCCGUG
rnacentral:rRNA from 1 species